AGUAACGGCGAGUGAAGCGGCAAGAGCUCAAAUUUGAAAUCUGGCUCCUUUGGAGUCCGAGUUGUAAUUUGUAGAGGGUGCUUUGGUGUCGGCUAUGGCCUAAGUUCCUUGGAACAGGACGUCACAGAGGGUGAGAACCCCGUAUGUGGCUGCUAGCCUUCACCAUGUAAAGCCCCUUCGACGAGUCGAGUUGUUUGGGAAUGCAGCUCUAAAUGGGAGGUAAAUUUCUUCUAAAGCUAAAUAUUGGCCAGAGACCGAUAGCGCACAAGUAGAGUGAUCGAAAGAUGAAAAGCACUUUGGAAAGAGAGUCAAAAAGCACGUGAAAUUGUUGAAAGGGAAGCGCUUGCAGCCAGACUUGCUCGUAGUUGCUCAUCCGAGCUUUUGCUCGGUGCACUCUUCUGCGAGCAGGCCAGCAUCAGUCCGGGCGGUUGGAUAAAGGCUCUGGGAAUGUAGCUCUCUUCGGGGAGUGUUAUAGCCCAGGGUGUCAUGCAACCAGUCUGGACUGAGGUCCGCGCAUCUGCUAGGAUGCUGGCGUAAUGGCUGUAAGCGGCCCGUCUUGAAACACGGACCAAGGAGUCUAACAUCUAUGCGAGUGUUUGGGUGUCAAGCCCGGGCGCGCAAUGAAAGUGAACGGAGGUGGGAACCCUUCGGGGCGCACCAUCGACCGAUCCUGAUGUCUUCGGAUGGAUUUGAGUAGAAGCAUAGCUGUUGGGACCCGAAAGAUGGUGAACUAUGCCUGAAUAGGGUGAAGCCAGAGGAAACUCUG
rnacentral:rRNA from 1 species